GACGAACGCUGGCGGCGUGCCUAAUACAUGCAAGUAGAACGCUGAAGGAGGAGCUUGCUCUUCUGGAUGAGUUGCGAACGGGUGAGUAACGCGUAGGUAACCUGCCUGGUAGCGGGGGAUAACUAUUGGAAACGAUAGCUAAUACCGCAUAAGAGUAGAUGUUGCAUGACAUUUACUUAAAAGGUGCAAUUGCAUCACUACCAGAUGGACCUGCGUUGUAUUAGCUAGUUGGUGGGGUAACGGCUUACCAAGGCGACGAUACAUAGCCGACCUGAGAGGGUGAUCGGCCACACUGGGACUGAGACACGGCCCAGACUCCUACGGGAGGCAGCAGUAGGGAAUCUUCGGCAAUGGACGGAAGUCUGACCGAGCAACGCCGCGUGAGUGAAGAAGGUGUUCGGAUCGUAAAGCUCUGUUGUAAGAGAAGAACGAGUGUGAGAGUGGAAAGUUCACACUGUGACGGUAUCUUACCAGAAAGGGACGGCUAACUACGU
rnacentral:rRNA from 1 species